rnacentral:rRNA from 1 species
AACGAACGCUGGCGGCAGGCUUAACACAUGCAAGUCGAGCGCCCCGCAAGGGGAGCGGCAGACGGGUGAGUAACGCGUGGGGAUCUACCCAUCUCUACGGAAUAACGCAUGGAAACGUGUGCUAAUACCGUAUACGUCCUUCGGGAGAAAGAUUUAUCGGAGAUGGAUGAGCCCGCGUUGGAUUAGCUAGUUGGUGGGCUAAAGGCCUACCAAGGCGACGAUCCAUAGCUGGUCUGAGAGGAUGAUCAGCCACACUGGGACUGAGACACGGCCCAGACUCCUACGGGAGGCAGCAGUGGGGAAUAUUGGACAAUGGGCGCAAGCCUGAUCCAGCCAUGCCGCGUGAGUGAUGAAGGCCCUAGGGUUGUAAAGCUCUUUCACCGGUGAAGAUAAUGUCGGUAACCGGAGAAGAAGCCCCGGCUAACUUCGUGCCAGCCGCCGCAGUAAAAC